UUGUCAGUUUUUAGUGCGCUGGACGAUUGUACACAAUUUUUAUUUUUGUGUUGCGAGUGCUGGUGCUAUAGAUAGAACAAGUUUUUAAAAUUUUAUCAAAAAAUCCGUAACUAGAAAAAAAUAAUGUUACAAUUGAAUAACUAAAAAAAUAUAAUAUCAUUUCUUCCAUAGAAGUAAAACUCAAUUGGUCGAAAGAACAUCGCAAAUAAAAAUAUACUUCUACUUUAACUACAAACGGGAAUUAAAACUGCAAUUGAAAUAAUCACACAAUUACACCAUUUUUUUCUUUGUUCCAUUGCGCUCCUGCCAACUUUUUUUUUCGUCUUCUUCGGUGUAUCUCCAUUUGAAAGUGCAGGAGAAGAGAAUAUAAAUUUAUAAAAAGAAGUCUUCAUUUUUUUUCCAAAUAAGAAACAUAAUAAAUUUAAAAUCUUAAUGGAAACUUGUUGAAACAGACGCAAUGAUUAGCGCACUUAUAUCUCGAUUAAUCAUAUUGACCUUUGGUACUCUAUAUCCAGCCUAUGCGUCCUACAAAGCAGUUCGGACUAAAAAUGUAAAGGAAUAUGUAAAAUGGAUGAUGUAUUGGAUUGUUUAUGCAUUCUUCAACUGCACUGAAACGUUCACUGACAUCUUUCUUUCUUGGUUCCCGUUCUACUAUGAAGUUAAAGUGAUAAUUGUGCUAUGGCUUCUAUCACCAGCAACCAAAGGCAGUUCCACAUUAUAUCGCAAAUUUGUUCAUCCAAUGCUCACGCGACGAGAGCAGGAAAUCGAUGAAUAUCUAAAUCAAGCUAAGGAACGCGGCUAUUCAGCAGUUCUACAAUUGGGAUCUAAAGGAGUUAAUUACGCCACCAAUGUCAUCAUGCAGACAGCACUAAAGGGUGGAGGUAAUUUGGUACAAACUAUUCGUCGCAGCUAUAGUUUGAGUGAUUUGUCAGAACCCGAUGUUCAUCGCACUCAAGACGAAAUUGACGAAAUUACUAGGCCACAGCAAAGAAUGCUUAGACCUAGAAACCCAGUAGCUCGUUCUGCCUCAGGAAGUAGGCAUUCAACUGGAAUGUAUUUCUCAGAGGUAGAUGUUGCAUCUAAGACUCCAGCAGACUUUACGAGCUAUAAUAUUCGCUCAUCAGAGGACAUAAGCUCAGGGUAUUCCAGUGCAGAACAGAUGUCCGGAGGACUUAGUCGUACGUCAUCAAUGACAAAUGCAAAUAGAGCCCGAUUUAAGGCAAAAAAGGCUGAAGAAUUAUUCAUUCGUGAAAUUCCUGAAAAUAUGAUUGAAUAUCGUUUUUAUGAGGCGCCACCAUCAGAUUCAAGGGAAUUGGUUCAUGAGACUUACAACGAUUGGAAAGAUGAAGUUUAUUUCGAUAAUGAACAAUAUUUUAAAAAUCAAAUUUACAAACCGGAAGAAAGAGAUACAUCUUCAACAGCAAGUACGUAUAAAGAUGAAAAUGCCGAGUUGCCUCUAAUAAUGGAUUCUCCAGAAAUGAAUUUGAAAUAUGAACUAUUCAAAAAGUGGCUUGCAGAGACGAAAAACUCGCAAACUUCGGACACAAUCGAAAGUGGUGAACUGUCUGAAUCCGAAGAUGAUUUUCAAGAUCCACUGCCAGUGGAUAAAAUUAAUGAUGAUAAAGAAGUAAGCGAAAUUAAAGACAUAAAAUCAACUGAAGUUGAUGAAAAAACAGAUGCAACUCUUAAAACUACAGAAACAACAUUUAAUGAACCUGCUAAUCAUAAAAUAACAGUUGGACCAAAAGCACUCAAAGAAUCCUUAGAAGAAAUUCAAAACAAUUUCCGUUCGGCUAUAGAGGCUCCUAUUAAAGUAACUGAACCUUCGUAUGAUUUUGCUAAAUCGGAACCAUUACACAAAACCGAUAGCAUCAUUCGAAGAACAACAAGCCAUUGUAAGGGCAAAGCACCCGCACCACCAAUCCUACAGCAAACAACAGAUAAUUUAGUCCCUGAUUUUUCCAACUCUAGAAGUACCUCUCCUUUGUCAGAAAAACCAACUAAAAAAAGUGGCCUUCUCAAGACCUACCUUCCGUCCAUAUUUCGUUCUGAAAGCAAAGAAAAGACAACUAAUGUUUCUAGCCCGACCACCACAACGCCUGUUAUUGAACAAUACCAUCUUGAAACCGAAAUAUAGUUUCGAAAAGUAACCAUCAAACAGAAAAUAGUAAGAAGAUAUUUUUGUUUCGUCCAGACUUAAACCAAAAAAUGGUCUUCACAGGAUUGUUUAACUCAUGCUCUCUGUACAUACUGCUGCCUUAACAAGGAAAAAUCUAUGUCAGCCAGUUGCACAACUCUUCCUCGAAGCAAAAAGUCAGAAAAGGCAAUGAAAACACGAAAGACGGAAAAAUAGAUGGUGCCAUCAUUCUUAAAACCUGGCUACCAUGCCUCUUUUCAGCGCACACAAAAACAAAAAUAUUAAAAAUAAUAAAGAAAAAAAUUAAAAAAACUGAAAGAAACCACAAAUCAUAAAUUUGUGUGUUUUUUAAAUAACAAAGAAGCAUGAAUUUCCCCCGAAUGACAUAUUAAUAUGAAGACGAAGAGACUUUGUAGACUGGUUCAAUGUCCUUAUUCCUAAUUUUCCUAUUUAAGUUAUCUAUAAUGAUGUGUAUAAGGCCAUGUCAUGGUCAUAUGUUUGUGUAUAGUAAAUAUGUAGCAUUAGCGAUCUCAAUGCAGGCGUUAUAUAUAACACAAUAAUGAGAUUUUUCAUUUUUAGUUAAUUUCUGGUGCUCUCUUUGCUGUAAACAUAGCAAUCUAAUCGAUAUUAUAUUUUAUUUUAGAUAGAAAAAGAUUUAUAUUACAAUUAAAUUGUUUUAUAUUUUAGUUCCUGCUUAAAUUAAAUUGCUUUGAAAUUGCAACAACCCACAACAAGUGUAAAUCCUCCUAUGAACAUGUAGUCAAAAGAUGUUGACGUGUGUUGCGUGUUGUGUUAAAUUUAAAUAUAUUUGCUUGUGGAUGCCUUAAAGGCAUCUAAGAAACAUCUUUGCGGGAGGUGCACUGGUGCAAGUUAUUGUACUCAAAGCAUUUUUUCUUACAUUUAAAAUUAUGUUUAUCGUUAUGUUAAAACUUUUCUUUAAAUGUUUUUUUAAGUGUUGCAGUUAAGUUGAUGAUGAAUUUGUUAUUUCGAAUAAAUUUAACGAAACAAAAUAUGUAUUUAUAUUAAUAAAAUUGAAUUUUGGACGCCUCCGAAAAGAAAUAUAUAGAUAUUAUGAUUAAUGAUUAGCAAAAAGUAUUUAACAAAAAAUUGUAAUUGAAAAUAUUAUAGCU